CCUACGUGAGUCAGCAGUGAGGAAUAUUGGGCAAUGGAGGCAACUCUGACCCAGCCAUGCCGCGUGAGUGAAGAAGGUUUUCGGAUUGUAAUGCUCUUUCGGAUGUGACGAUGAUGACGGUAUCAUCUAAAGAAGCCCCGGCUAACUUCGUGCCAGCAGCCGCGGUAAUACGACGGGGGCACGCGUUGUUGGGAAGUACUGGGCGUAAAGGGAGUGUAGGCGGUUUAGUAAGAUAGUGGUGAAAUCCCAGAGCUUAACUUUGGAAUUGCCAUUAUAACUAUUAGACUAUGAUUACAGGGAGGAUAGUAGGAUACCCAGUGUAGAGGUGGAAUUGGUGAGUAUUGGGUAGGACACGAGUGGGGAAGGCGACUAUCUGGCUGUACAUUGACGCUGGGGCUCGAAAGCAUGGGGAUCAAACAGGAUGAGAUACCCUGGUAGUC
rnacentral:rRNA from 1 species